rnacentral:lncRNA from 1 species
ACGAGCCGCGCGCGACGCCGGCGGGGGCGGGGCCUCGGUCGGACCGCGUCGCUUUCCCCGGCCCGGCGGGCGCCGCUCUGCUGCGGCAGCGGCUCGGCUCGGCUCGGCUCGGCUCGGCUCGGCUCUUCAUGCACUUGCGAUGUUGUCAUCAUCUACUUCAUCAUCACCAUCUCCACCACCAUGAAGGCCUGGUAGACCCAUUGUAUAUUCCCCUUCAGAAAAAAAGAGGAGGAGUAAGAGUCUGGAGAGAAAAAGGGCUCGGCCAAGGAUAUGUAUACAACAGCUACGAGCACUGAGAUGAUGUGUGCAAGGAAUCAGAAGUGAAGCAAGAAGCUGAUGGAAGCCCAGAGUUAAAAUCUGAACAGGAUGUACCAGAGACCUCUUCAGCAGCAACUGCUGAAAGAUCUACAUUUGAUCUGGAGCAGUUCCAGCAGCGCUUGUAUAUGUAUGCUACCAAGAUGUCUGAGUACACCUACCCUGUCUACAGAGCAAGAUGUUUUUGCAGUGAUUGAUUACAACAUGCAUUUGAACCGGCAAACUGCACARUCAGCAAAAUCAGUUAAUGCACCAAGACAAGGAGGCUGAUCCCAGAGUCAAUGAGAUUCCUUUGGGUUCAAGGAACUUAUGCUGGUCUGCUAAUUUGCUGCAUGGAAAUACAGAUGGGGCAAGCAAUUGUUUCUUCCUUCUCCUUUGUUAUAG